GACGAACGCUGGCGGCGUGCUUAACACAUGCAAGUCGAGCGGUAAGGCCCUCGGGUACACGAGCGGCGAACGGGUGAGUAACACGUGGGUGACCUGCCUCUAGCUCUGGGAUAAGCCUGGGAAACUGGGUCUAAUACCGGAUAUGACUCCACGGCGCAUGUUGUGGGGUGGAAAGCCUUGUGUGGCUAGAGAUGGGCCCGCGGCCUAUCAGCUUGUUGGUGGGGNGAUGGCCUACCAAGGCGACGACGGUAGCCGGCCUGAGAGGCGACCGGCCACACUGGGACUGAGACACGGCCCAGACUCCUACGGGAGGCAGCAGUGGGGAAUCUUGCGCAAUGGGCGAAAGCCUGACGCAGCGACGCCGCGUGAGGAUGAC
rnacentral:rRNA from 1 species